rnacentral:rRNA from 1 species
UACGGAGGGGGCUAGCGUUGCUCGGAAUUACUGGGCGUAAAGCGCACGUAGGCGGCUUGUUAAGUCAGGGGUGAAAUCCUGGAGCUCAACUCCAGAACUGCCUUUGAUACUGGCGAGCUUGAGUUCGGGAGAGGUGAGUGGAACUGCGAGUGUAGAGGUGAAAUUCGUAGAUAUUCGCAAGAACACCAGUGGCGAAGGCGGCUCACUGGCCCGAUACUGACGCUGAGGUGCGAAAGCGUGGGGAGCAAACAGG